rnacentral:lncRNA from 12 species
UGAAGCUGUUCUUCUCAGAGCAGGAAGACUGUGGGUCUCACAUGACUUCAAGAUCUGAACCAUCUGAAUGAUCAUUUACACCCAUGCUAAAAUGUCCACAAGCAAUGCAGCGCUACCCCUUCAGGAUGAGCCUGUUAUCACACCCAGAAAAUCAAGAACCACAUGCUUUUCCUCUUGGAUGAAGCAGGACUUUGGUAGAACUGCUGAGCUCAAUAAAUUUGGCAAAGUGUCUCCCCACUUCUCAUGA